rnacentral:rRNA from 1 species
CAAUCGAACGUGGAGAUAGCUGGUUCUCCCCGAAAUAGCUUUAGGGCUAGCCUCAGGGAAAAGAUUGCAGGCGGUAGAGCACUGAUCAGGAGAGGGACCUACCCGGUUACCAAACCCAGUCAAACUCCGAAUGGCUGCAAUCAUACCUGGGAGUCAGACUGCGACUAAUAAGGGCCGCAGUCAAAAGGGAAACAGCCCAGACCAUCAGCUAAGGUCCCCAAUGCCGUGCUAAGUGGCAAAGGAUGUGGCAUUUCAUAAACAACCAGGAUGUUGGCUCAGAAGCAGCCACCAUUUAAAGAGUGCGUAAUAGCUCACUGGUCGAGAGACGCUGCGCCGAAAAUGUCCGGGGCUCAAGCACGGAACCGAAGCUAUGGCAUGAUAGCAAUAUCAUGGGUAGGGGAGCGUUCUUAUAAGGAAGAAGCAUGACCGGAAGGACAUGUGGACAAAUAAGAAGUGAGAAUGCCGGUAUGAGUAUCGAAAAGAAAGGUGAGAAUCCUUUCCACCGAAAGCCCGAGGGUUCCUGAGCAACGAUCGUCGACUCAGGGUAAGUCGGGACCUAAGCCGAGGCGAGAAGCGUAGGCGAUGGACAACAGGUUGAAAUUCCUGUACCGGAUCAAGUCGAUCGAGCGAAGGAGCGACGCAGGAGGGCACAUGAUCGCGCGGCUGGAAGAGCGCGUCCAAGUGCGUAUGUUGCUGCAGAGGAAAACCCCUGCAGCUAAAAGCAGAGACAUGAAGGGGAGUUAAAGGAAACUUUGACGAACUCAUGGAUCCCACACUGCCAAGAAAAACUUCUAGCGAGACAAGAUCCGCCCGUACCGUAAACCGACACAGGUAGGCGGGGAGAGAAUCCUAAGGUGCGCGGGAAAACCCUCGUUAAGGAACUCGGCAAAUUGCAUCCGUAACCUAGGGAGAAGGAUGGCCCCCGGUCAGUGAAGAGCAGAAACGCUCAGAGCUAAAAGGGGCGGCAGAAAAGAGGCCCAAGCAACUGUUUACCAAAAACACAGGUGCCUGCGAAAGCGAAAGCUGAAGUAUAGGUGCUGACGCCUGCCCGGUGCCGGAAGGUUAAGGAGAGAAGUUAGCGAAAGCGAAGCAUCGAACUGAAGCCCCGGUGAACGGCGGCCGUAACUAUAACGGUCCUAAGGUAGCGAAAUUCCUUGUCGGGUAAGUUCCGACCCGCAUGAAAGGCGUAAUGAUUUGGGCACUGUCUCAACGAGGGGCCCGGUGAAAUUGAAAUACCUGUGAAGAUGCAGGUUACCCGCGACUGGACAGAAAGACCCCAUGGAGCUUCACUGCAGCUUGAGAUUGAAUCCCGGUGACAGAUGCACAGGAUAGGUGGGAGGCGCCGAAGCAUUGCCCUAGGGCGGUGCGGAGCCGAUGUUGGGAUACCACCCUUCUGUUGCUGAGAUUCUAACGCGAGGAGUAACGACCCUGCGGACCCUCUCAGGCAGGCGGUUUGACUGGGGCGGUCGCCUCCGAAAGAGUAACGGAGGCGCCCAAAGGUUCCCUCAGGCCGGACAGAAACCGGCCGAAGAGUGCAAAGGCAGAAGGGAGCUUGACUGCGAGACCCACAAGUCGAGCAGAGACGAAAGUCGGGCUUAGUGAUCCGGUGGUACUGAGUGGAAAGGCCAUCGCUCAACGGAUAAAAGCUACCCUGGGGAUAACAGGCUAAUCUCUCCCAAGAGUUCAUAUCGACGGGGAGGUUUGGCACCUCGAUGUCGGCUCAUCACAUCCUGGGGCUGGAGUAGGUCCCAAGGGUUGGGCUGUUCGCCCAUUAAAGUGGUACGCGAGCUGGGUUCAAAACGUCGUGAGACAGUUUGGUUCAUAUCCAUCGCGGGCGCAAGAAGUUUGAGAGGAGCUGCUCCUAGUACGAGAGGACCGGAGUGGACGGAUCAACGGUGUCCCAGUUGUCACGCCAGUGGCACGGCUGGAAAGCCGCAUCCGGGAAGGAUAAACGCUGAAAGCAUCUAAGCGCGAAGCCAACCUCAAGAUGAGACUUCUCAUCAGCAAUGAGUAAGACCCCUUACAGACGAUGAGGUAGAUAGGUUAUGAGUGGAAGAGCCGCAAGGCUUGGAGCGACAUAAAACUAAUAGGUCGAGGUCUUAACUUA